AGUAAGGUCAGCUAAAUUAAGCUCUUGGGCCCAUACCCCAAAUAUGUUGGUUAAACUCCUUCCUUUGCUA
rnacentral:tRNA from 3 species